AUGGAGGGCACCUUCGUGGAGACAAUCAAGGAGUGGCAGCGGGAGUGGUUCUACAUCACCGCGCCGCUUGCCCGAAGGCCAGGCUGGGGUCCUAGCGUUCUCGGCCGAUUCUCCGAGGGGGCUCAUCUCAUGGAUGAGAAAGGGCCUGAAUUGGGGCAACCCCGAGGAGGUAGCAGUGUUGAAGAAGAAGAUCGAGUCCAUGAGGGACAAGAAGAAGAUCCCCUUCUCCCUCUAUCGGCCCUCUUCUCCUCCCCGGCCACCGUCGUGGCCUUUGAGGACAAGGACGACGGCUGCGCGCUUGGCGUAGGCGGAUUCCACCAUCUCGUCAUCACCUUCCAGGUCGCUCUACACCCGGACAUGGGACUGGCGCGCGGGCGCCGACAUCUGUGCGCCCGAGAUCGUCGGAGCCGCAUCAGGCUGGUUAACAUCCUCUGCUACACCCCCGACGCGGGAGCGGGAUGCAUCGACCUCAACCCCCUGCCGCAGGAGGUCGAGGGCCGCCGGGACUGGGAGACCGCCGAGAUGCCGGGCAGAUUCAGCGCCGACCAGAGCGCCAAGGAGGUGGCCGUGCUCUACGUGGUGCCCGGCGACCGCGCCGGCCAGUUCCACGCCGAGAAGAUGGGCUACCAUGACGAGAUGGUCCUGCUCUGCUCCCAGGGCACCGCUGAGGUGCUCGUGCUGGCUGCCAGACCUUGA
rnacentral:rRNA from 1 species